CGCCAUGGGAUACGACAGCAAAGGUGGAGCAGUUAAUGUCUUUUUAUUUCUUUUAAAACACCGAAAGAGCUACCUGUGUUUAAAAGUUUAUUUACACAUUAUUUAUCUGCUUUUUUCAAAAGAAAAAUCGAUAAAUUCCUAAGAAAGCCUAACCUUUGGUUUAUUUGUAUAGACCACCUCUUAUUUUAUAAGAGAUGAGAUUAACCCUAAUUUUUAUCUUAUCGAUUAUCAUCUCCACCUGUCGUGAUUGUUAUCUUAUCGAUUAUCGUCUUCACUUUAUCAUCGUGUAGUACUGCUAAAUGCUAAGCAUGUUUCAGAAAACCAAUGCCUUCUCAAGUUCCAGAGCAAGAAUCCUCCACAGCCACCUCUUCAGAUGAAUCAUAUGCCCUGAUGACGCUCUUGUUUACAGUGUAUUACACAUGAGCUAAAUGCUGCAUCUAAGUGGACAUGCUCUUGUACAGCAUUAAGGGUAUCACAACUCUACCAAAGUCCAGGGGUGCUGAAGACAUUGGACAAUUAAUCCUCUAUUUUACUUGUAAAAUUUUAAUGUCUCGAGAACCUAUUGGUCGCAAUGCCUAGUAACUUGUGACAAAAUAUUGGAAUAAUUUUGACAACAAACAAUCAACUAAUACAGUUUCUUGUCCAAUUUAGUAUCUCCAUCUUGUUUUGAACUACUACUGCUUGGGUAAGCUGAGGAUUUUGAUCUGUUGGACUCCAAGAGC
rnacentral:lncRNA from 1 species